rnacentral:lncRNA from 1 species
AGCAAAUACAUGUAUGUCCUUGGCAGCACACUGACCGCCACUUGAAAGCUCCGAGGAGCUCGAGCUGUGCCUAAUGAGUCGCAGCUCGUGACGUCAUCACUUGGCGCUGCCACUCCUUUCCGAGCAUGUGCAUGGCCUCUGUGGGUGCUGCUCUGAUGCUCGGCUUGGUUUGCAUGCUGACAGAGAGGGCUCUGCAUGACAUAGGUUUGCCAUCACUAUGCUAAGGUGUGCUGCACCCACUGGAGAGGGCACCUGCUGUCUGGUGAGCUCUGAGUGUUUACCAACACCGUUACAGCGGGACUGCAGGGAUGUGGCAGGGUGCUGUGAGGACAGGCUGGGAAGAGCAGGUGUGUGUGGGCUUGAGCACAAAAUGGUCCUGGGGCAGAGACAGGGGUGAUGGCUGGCCCUGAGGCCAACAUCUUGAAAGAUUGUCCACUCCAGAAACGAAAUUCUUUUUUUUUUUUUUUUUUUUUUUUGUACCGGGGAUUGAACUCGGGACCUUGUGCUUGCGAGGCAGGCGCCAGCACCACUGAGAAAUUCUUUUUAUCAGGCGUAAUAAUCCAUACAGGGAAGAUGACAGUAAUUGGGAGAAGCCACUAGCACUGGCCACAGCUUUAAGGGUGCCCGAAGCCUGAGGACGCACCCUUGGGUACCGGGCACACCUGCUGUGGGGCUGACACGUGGCUCCUUCAGUUUUACCAAGACGUGAUGGAAACUUGGUUGACAACGUGUUGUGUUCUGAGAAGAAUGAGGCCACCUGAUGCAAAAGUGGACGCGGGAUCAAACUGGGAAGAAAUCUUUCAUGUCAGUUUUCUGAGACUAUUCAUACUCAUCUGUGUCACGGUAACAGCAUAUCUCAUCUUAAAAGUGAAAUGCUAAGUGUCUGAGGAACAGGUUGUACUGCUCAAUGACCAGGGUAAUCAGCACGAACCUAACAUUUAUCCUGAUAAUAACCAGUGAAUGUGCAAAGGGGAAGAGACAGACUUACUGCAUCCAUGAAAACACCGUGUCCCUCUUUAACAUUUAUAAUAUCUAUAUAUAGCACUAUAUUUCAUUAUUAAAGACACAGACAGCAAAAAUAUUCACAUUUAAACUUCUUACAGAAGUUAUUCUUCUAUUGAGGAAAACCGAUUACACUAACUAACGGGCAACCAAACAGGGAAUUCUGCUCGGGAGACUUAUUCAGCUGAGGGUUUCUUUUUAAAAUACAGUUUAGAAAAGUAAUGAAAGAGGUCCCAGGUAUAUUUUCCAUUUGGAGGUCAUCCCUUUCAAUCUGAGUUAUGGUUCAUGGGUAAAGUCAGAGCUUUUGGUGAAAUAAAUGAAUAAUGCCAAUUUAUUUCUUAUAAACAAAUGCGUACAUCAAAAAACUGGAAUUGCUGCACAGCGCCUGGCAAGAUGAGUGAGAUGACUAAGGACGAAGUGGUUCCUUGAGCCCCUGUCUUUAGACCUGGCGCCCUCCUCAGAAGGCCCGCAGGUGUGAGUCCUGGGCUGGGGCUCCAUCGCUCUGAGAGGGCUGCCUUCUUUCCAGUCCAGCUCUCCUACCCGCUCUUUUACCGCGGAGAUGAGGAGUAGCCAAAGCGUAAUAAUUACGCUUAAUAUACAUAUAUGAGUGGAGCUAUAGAAUAGUGGGGAUCAUAGUGGGUAAGAGUGUUUGGUGUGCAAACUUGUGGCUACCACCCCCAACACAAGCACACAAGCGCACACACAUUUAGUAUGUAAAACGGAAGUGUAAUUAACGGGUUCACCACUCUUGUACAGUAUUUCUCAAGGUAGAGUUCACAGACCAAAGGAGAUCCUUACAAAUGCUUAAGACCUUGGUAUCACUGCUUUAAGCAAACACAGACUCCUGUGCCUCAUGGCAAAUAAGAAACAAAAAUAAAAGACAAUGACUAAUUCUGAAAAAUACAUGACAACUCCCCCCAUAUUGGACUUCGUCUUCUUACAUUACCUAUUUAUGGCCUAUUUGUAUCAAAUAGUGUUUCCAAGGAAAAAGAAUUAUAGUACAUAGUGGAAAAACCAGUGUCAAAUGCUAUUAUGCGUGCCAAAGUCAAGUAGCCAUGAUUUGUGGUACUGCUUAGAAUCAGCAGUGAUAAUCACGGAGCAAAAACUGUAAUGACUUCCCCUGGGAAGACUACUACGAUUACUGUGCACUUCAGGGAGAUGAGAAGCAUCCAGGGCUGGGAAGGUGAGUGUGCAGUCUGUACCUCAUUUCCGCUGGAGAAGGGAGAAGGGAGAGGCCGGACCCACGGAGAAGGCCGGAAGGAGCCCAGCAGGAGCCCAGCCGGGCUGCUGGAUGGGAUUAAGGGCGGCGGCAGCGCCCCCUGGCGAGGGACCCGCUCUGAGCGCCAAGGGCGGGAGAAAAGGCGCCCCAGGUGGGGCUUCCUCAGGCCCAGAGGGGGCUUUGUGGCUUUCACCUGCUGUCUUUUAAACUCAAGCAAUCGGGUUAACCGAAUGACCCUAGGAAGUGCGACGGAGUUCAGGUAUCUUAGAGAAUCACGACCACAGAAGUGGAAGGGUUUCCCCAUUUCAUUCCUGGAGGAAAAGGGAUGUCGGGCACUUUCCAUGGCUGAGGGAACAGAAUGGAUUUCUGAGUCUUUGGGCAGUAGAGAAAUCUUAACCUCGGAUGGAUGCCUGACUGUAGAAUUCCUAUUCCUCGGCAGCGGAGUCCAAGCUUCCGCAUUCUUACAGGGACACUGGUGCCCCCAGACUGUGGCACCCCCGGUCAGCAGUGCGCUCUGCCCCGUGCCCAGGGACAGCCCUGUUGCCGGUGAGGUCAGCGCAGCUGGGGAAGGAGGACGCGCGUUUCGCUGCAAUAAGCAGAGUGAAAAGAGCUCAUGUUUUCACCUACGUUUUACGUGUGUAUUUCAAGUUCAGUGUAGGCAAGAACUGCUGAUAUUAUCACUGUGGGCGAGGUACAUAAAAACCCUAGGAACUGGCAUCACAUAUCGAGACCAACGCAAAUACAUUUAUAGCGAUGGAAAACAUAAAAGAAAUGUUAAAUGUUUUUAUCAUAAGAAAAAAUGAAGUUAAAUGAUCCAAAACCUGAACAAAAAUUAAUGCAGAUACUCAGUACAUGAGAAAAUUAUUUG